CCUACGGGAGGCUGCAGUGGGGAAUAUUGGACAAUGGGGGGAACCCUGAUCCAGCCAUGCCGCGUGUGUGAAGAAGGCCCUCGGGUUGUAAAGCACUUUCAGUGAGGAAGAACGCCUGGUGGUUAAUACCCAUCAGGAAAGACAUCACUCACAGAAGAAGCACCGGCUAACUCCGUGCCAGCAGCCGCGGUAAUACGGAGGGUGCGAGCGUUAAUCGGAAUUACUGGGCGUAAAGCGCGCGUAGGUGGCUUGAUAAGCCGGUUGUGAAAGCCCCGGGCUCAACCUGGGAACGGCAUCCGGAACUGUCAAGCUAGAGGGCAGGAGAGGAAGGUAGAAUUCCCGGUGUAGCGGUGAAAUGCGUAGAGAUCGGGAGGAAUACCAGUGGCGAAGGCGGCCUUCUGGACUGACACUGACACUGAGGUGCGAAAGCGUGGGUAGCAAACAGGAUUAGAUACCCUGGUAGUC
rnacentral:rRNA from 1 species